AUUGAACGCUGGCGGCAGGCCCAACACAUGCAAGUCGAGCGGAUGAAGGGAGCUUGCUCCUGGAUUCAGCGGCGGACGGGUGAGUAAUGCCUAGGAAUCUGCCUGGUAGUGGGGGAUAACGUCCGGAAACGGGCGCUAAUACCGCAUACGUCCUGAGGGAGAAAGUGGGGGAUCUUCGGACCUCACGCUAUCAGAUGAGCCUAGGUCGGAUUAGCUAGUUGGUGGGGUAAAGGCCUACCAAGGCGACGAUCCGUAACUGGUCUGAGAGGAUGAUCAGUCACCCUGGAACUGAGACACGGUCCAGACUCCUACGGGAGGCAGCAGUGGGGAAUAUUGGACAAUGGGCGAAAGCCUGAUCCAGCCAUGCCGCGUGUGUGAAGAAGGUCUUCGGAUUGUAAAGCACUUUAAGUUGGGAGGAAGGGCAGUAAGUUAAUACCUUGCUGUUUUGACGUUACCAACAGAAUAAGCACCGGCUAACUUCGUG
rnacentral:rRNA from 1 species